rnacentral:rRNA from 1 species
GAUGAACGCUGGCGGCGUGCUUAACACAUGCCAGUCGAACGGAAACACCAUGCUGCUGUGUUCUGCUCGAGUGGCGAACGGGUGAGUAACACGUGUGUAACCUGCCCUUGACUUUGGGAUAACAUCUGGUAAAUGGGGCUAAUACCGCAUCGGAGCUCCUGCUGCAUGGUGGGGGUUGGAUAGUUUCGGCGGUAGUGGAUGGACUCGCGGCUUAUCAGCUUGUUGGUGGGGGAGUGGCUUACCCCGGCUCAGACUGGUAGCCGGCCUGGGAGGGUGACCGGCGACAUGAGGACUGCGAUACGGCGCAGACUCGUACAGGAGGCAGCGGGGGGGAACAUGGCGCAGUGGGGGGAAGCCUGAGGCGACAACGCCGCGUGCGGGAUGACGGCCUUCGGGUUGGAAACCGCGUUCGCCUGAGACGAAGCGUGAGUGACGGUAAUGGGUAAAGAAGCACCGGCUAACUACGUG